CGGCGACGGGUGAGUAACGCGUGGAUAACCUGCCUCAUACAGGGGGAUAACAGUUAGAAAUGACUGCUAAUACCGCAUAAGCGCACAGGACCGCAUGGUCCGGUGUGAAAAACUCCGGUGGUAUGGGAUGGAUCCGCGUCUGAUUAGCUAGUUGGCGGGGGAGAGGCCCACCAAGGCGACGAUCAGUAGCCGACCUGAGAGGGUGGCCGGCCACAUUGGGACUGAGACACGGCCCAAACUCCUACGGGAGGCAGCAG
rnacentral:rRNA from 1 species